CUCCAUCAUCAUCUUCUCCCCUCAUCUCUAGAAUCAUCUAAUUCCUCAUCUCCAAAUUCUGGAGAAAUAUUGUGAAAUUAAGCUGAGGAAAUAGUAUCCAAAGAAGAAGAACAAAUAGAGCAUCUCCAAUCUCAUUCUUACUUUCAUAAACUAUAAUCACUCCUGUUGAUCGAAACCCCCAAAUCUAGAACCAUAACUAUUUGAAAGCCUCUUGGUCCACUGAAUUUGAUCGGGUAACCAAGAAAUUAGGGAUCCAACUACAACAAGAUUCUCCUUGGAAUCUUUGAAGAACUCAAUUAUUCGUGACUCGGCUUCCAAGUCAUCUGCCAAAAUAAGAUCAUCCUCAAAUGAAUCUCUCUUUUCUUCAGGACUGUGAUCAUCAGCAAGAAUCAUUCGCAUGCUCAGAACCUUCAUCCGCUCAACAAGAAGCUCUACUACAUCGAGUCUUCCCCGACGACUCAGACUCAGACUCAGUGAGCCAUACCUCCUCCGACGAUGACCUAAACGGCUCCGUUUUACCCUCCUCCGGCGAGAACACCAACAAUUUUAAAAUCGUCGCACCGAUGUACAGAGAAGAUGAAAUCGGAAGAAGAAGAUGGUUUUAAAUUGUUAAGUUAUUUGACAGAGAAAGAAGAAGAUGGUUUUAAAUUGUUAUUUCAGAUCAAAUCGGGAAAUUUUUCAGAUCUGGUUUGGGAGAUUUGACUCUAUUCAUA
rnacentral:lncRNA from 1 species